rnacentral:rRNA from 1 species
CCUACGGGGGGCAGCAGUGAGGAAUAUUGGUCAAUGGGCGCGAGCCUGAACCAGCCAAGUAGAGUGAAGGAUGACUGCCCUACGGGUUGUAAACUUCUUUUAUAAAGGAAUAAAGUGAGGCACGUGUGCCUUUUUGUAUGUACUUUAUGAAUAAGGAUCGGCUAACUCCGUGCCAGCAGCCGCGGUAAUACGGAGGAUCCGAGCGUUAUCCGGAUUUAUUGGGUUUAAAGGGUGCGUAGGUGGGUUUUUAAGUCAGCGGUGAAAGUUUGUGGCUCAACCGUAAAAUUGCAGUUGAUACUGGGAGUCUUGAGUACAGUUGAGGCAGGCGGAAUGCGUGGUGUAGCAGUGAAAUGCUUAGAUAUCACGCAGAACCCCGAUUGCGAAGGCAGCCUGCCAAGCCAUGACUGACGCUGAUGCACGAAAGCGUGGGGAUCAAACAGGAUUAGAUACCCGUGUAGUC